rnacentral:rRNA from 1 species
GAUGAACGCUGGCGGCGUGCCUAACACAUGCAAGUCGAGCGAUUUACUUCGGUAAAGAGCGGCGGACGGGUGAGUAACGCGUGGGUAACCUGCCCUGUACACACGGAUAACAUACCGAAAGGUAUGCUAAUACGAGAUAAUAUACUUUUAUCGCAUGGUAGAAGUAUCAAAGCUUUUGCGGUACAGGAUGGACCCGCGUCUGAUUAGCUAGUUGGUAAGGUAACGGCUUACCAAGGCGACGAUCAGUAGCCGACCUGAGAGGGUGAUCGGCCACAUUGGAACUGAGACACGGUCCAAACUCCUACGGGAGGCAGCAGUGGGGAAUAUUGCACAAUGGGCGAAAGCCUGAUGCAGCAACGCCGCGUGAGCGAUGAAGGCCUUCGGGUCGUAAAGCUCUGUCCUCAAGGAAGAUAUUGACGGUACUUGAGGAGGAAGCCCCGGCUAACUACGUGCCAGCAGCCGCAGUAAGAC